UUUUGAGUGGGGGGGAUUCUGAAGCAGUUGGAGAAUCCAUUAGAAGGGACUGCAGUGGACAUCUGGCCUUUACUGCUCUUUUAUGUCUACUGUUUCUUCCAAGCGUUUUUCUCUGACCUUUAACCACCAGAAUUCUGUUGGGGGAGAAUUUGGAAGAUGGAAGGGGUCACAAAGGCGCCGGACAUCUGUAUUACCACUCAGUCACAGGCUGUUGCACCAAGCUCGCAAUCUAAGCCGGGAACUCUGUCUGCUGCUGAGCUUGGCUGGUCUAUCCGUCGUUGCUCUGCUCUCUCUGCACGAUUCAUGGAUUCGUUUCCACGUGCCAUUGGGUAAGCCCGGCAACUUCACCUUCAUUGACAUCUACACAUCAAUCUUUGUUCCCUGCCCAGAGACUGAAUGCACACUGGAGCCUGAUGAGCCACCCUGUGAGUCUGCCUGCCCUGCUCCACUAGGACCUGACCCAUCUCUGACCAGAGAGUGCCCUCUCGCUGGGAAUGCUGUCACAGAAAACAGGCCUUAAGAGCAGCGACUCUCAGCUCAUCCCCUCCUAAGCAAAGCCCUCUCCUUUGCCUAGGACCCUCCCCCCAGUUCAGAGACACCCCCUCCUUAAUUUCCUCCUAAUUCAUAGAUGGUCUUCUCUCCCUUCCAGUUUUCCUCAGCCUCCAAAAUCCCUAUUCCCUGGAAGAUGUUCUCUCCCUCACUCUUAUUCCUUCUUUCCUCAGAUUACCUGAAUUUCUCCGUCACCUUCAUCCUCAUUGCCACCCUCAUCAGUUUCCUUCUGUGCCUGGCCUUGGCCUACACCAUUCUCUUCUUCAGAGGCUCGGUGCCCAUCAUUGACCUCACCAUCUCCAUUAUGAGCUUCAGUACAGGUAGAAGAACCUAAAUGGAUCAGCCCAUCUACUCCUCUUAUUUUAUCUAUGAGGAAGUUGCGAGCUGGAGAGAGGGAAGGCCUUAUAAUGGGCCAAACACCUGGAGAGAGUCAUGUGGAUUGAUGUCAUAUCAUCCUCAUCAAAAGAGAGAGAAUGGUCACUCUGGAGGCCAGACAUGGCCUCUUGCUGUUCCUGUGUGCCCUGUUCUACCUGCUUCAGGCCCGGAAUUUCCUGCAGAAUGGAAUGAGCUACACCCUGGAGACAAACUACUACCUGGCAUGGCUAGGCAUUUUCCUCUAUAUGCUGACAGGCUUCUUUUGCUUCCUCAACUAUGCGAAUUUCUGGUCUAUGAUGACACCUGGAGGGGCCUGGCUUUAGGCUUUGAGAUGGAUUCCUACCCUGGACCCUGCCCUCCCUGCUUCUUACCCUCACCCCAAGCCUUCCCAGCUGGGACUGUCGCUCUCCCUGGCUGAUCCCUUCUGUUCCCUCUUGACUCCUCAGCUUAAUAAACUGGCGUGUCCUCACUCUCCCCA
rnacentral:lncRNA from 1 species